CCUACGGGAGGCAGCAGUGAGGAAUAUUGGUCAAUGGACGAGAGUCUGAACCAGCCAAGUAGCGUGAAGGAUGACUGCCCUAUGGGUUGUAAACUUCUUUUAUAUGGGAAUAAAAUGUUCCACGUGUGGGAUUUUGUAUGUACCAUAUGAAUAAGGAUCGGCUAACUCCGUGCCAGCAGCCGCGGUAAUACGGAGGAUCCGAGCGUUAUCCGGAUUUAUUGGGGUUAAAGGGAGCGUAGGUGGAUUGUUAAGUCAGUUGUGAAAGGUUGCGGCUCAACCGUAAAAUUGCAUUUGAAACUGGCAGUCUUGAGUACAGUAGAGGUGGGCGGAAUUCGUGGUGUAGCGGUGAAAUGCUUAGAUAUCACGAAGAACUCCGAUUGCGAAGGCAGCUCACUGGACUGCAACUGACACUGAGGCUCGAAAGUGUGGGUAUCAAACAGGAUUAGAUACCCGUGUAGUC
rnacentral:rRNA from 1 species